AUACGAAAGGUGCAAGCGUUACUCGGAAUUACUGGGCGUAAAGCGUGCGUAGGUGGUUGUUUAAGUCUGUCGUGAAAGCCCUGGGCUCAACCUGGGAAUGGCGAUGGAAACUGGGCGACUAGAGUGUGGCAGAGGGUAGUGGAAUUCCUGGUGUAGCAGUGAGAUGCGUAGAGAUCAGGAGGAACAUCCGUGGCGAAGGCGACUGCCUGGGCCAACACUGACACUGAGGCACGAAAGCGUAGGGAGCAAAUAGGAUUAGAUACCCUGGUAGUCCACGCCCUAAACGAUGCGAACUGGAUGUUGGGUGCAAUUUGGCACGCAGUAUCGAAGCUAACGCGUUAAGUUCGCCGACUGGGGAGUACGGUCGCAAGACUGAAACUCAAAGGAAUUGACGGGG
rnacentral:rRNA from 1 species